rnacentral:lncRNA from 1 species
UGACGUCAAGAUAAUGAGACGAUCUUUGCUCAGCUGGGAGGCAGUGCUCUUAUCCUGUUUCUGCUGACAUACUGUUGGGCAGACUCCAAGCCCUACAGAUUUGCAAUUUCUGUGAAGGUGGAGAUCUUUGGUCAGCACCAAUACAGGAUGUCGAGCUCUAUUCUGGCAACAGGGAUUGAGAUUGCGACCUUGUACACAAGGUUGCUGCUCUUGCACAGCCACUAUGAGCUACUCACUAGCUUAUGCAGGAUGAGGAUCCUAACUUGAUCGCGGCACUGGAAACGCUCACCUCGUGAACAGUUGUCUCUGACUGUAUGCGAAUGUCGCUGACUUCCUUUCAUUUGUCUCAAACGCCAUGGACUACAUAAUUGCGAUCGCUUUCGCAGGACAAGCUUAGUGCAGGAGCAAGGCUCCUGGCUCAGAGUGCGACCUAUGACUCUGGAAUGAAAACAAGACUGCAUUCCCGAGCAUAC